ensembl:snRNA U6 U6 spliceosomal RNA
GUGCUUGCUUUGGCAGCACAUAUACUGAAAUUAUAAGGAUACAGAGAAGAUUAACAUGGCCUAGCCACAAGGAUGAGAUGCAAAUUCAUUAAGUAUUUUAUAUAGAG